AUACGGAGGGUGCAAGCGUUAUCCGGAUUCAUUGGGUUUAAAGGGUGCGCAGGCGGAUAUUUAAGUCAGUGGUGAAAUCCCGGGGCUCAACCUCGGAACUGCCAUUGAUACUGAAUAUCUGGAAUACGGUUGAAGUGGGCGGAAUGUAGCAUGUAGCGGUGAAAUGCAUAGAGAUGCUACAGAACACCGAUCGCGAAGGCAGCUCACUAAGCCGAUAUUGACGCUCAGGCACGAAAGCGUGCGGAGCGAACAGGAUUAGAAACCCUAGUAGUCC
rnacentral:rRNA from 1 species